rnacentral:rRNA from 1 species
UACGUAGGGUCCAAGCGUUAUCCGGAAUUACUGGGCGUAAAGCGUGCGUAGGUGGUGAGUUAAGUCUGUCGUGAAAGCCCCGGGCUCAACCUGGGAAUGGCGAUGGAUACUGGCUCGCUAGAGUGCGGUAGAGGAGAGUGGAAUUCCUGGUGUAGCGGUGGAAUGCGCAGAUAUCAGGAGGAACACCGGUGGCGAAGGCGGGUCUCUGGGCAGUAACUGACGCUGAGGAGCGAAAGCGUGGGGAGCGAACAGG